rnacentral:rRNA from 1 species
AGUGAACGCUGGCGGUAUGCCUAACACAUGCAAGUCGAACGGCAGCACAGUAAGAGCUUGCCCUUACGGGUGGCGAGUGGCGGACGGGUGAGGAGUACAUCGGAAUCUACUAUUUCGUGGAGGAUAACGUAGGAACACUUACGCUACUACCGCAUACGACGUACGGGAGAAUGCAGAAGAGCUUCGCGCCUUGGCCGACUGAAUGAGCCGAUGCCGCAUUAGCUAGUUGGCGGGGUAAAGGCACACCAAGGCGACGAUCCGUAGCUGAUCUGAGAGGAUGAUCAGCCACACUGGAACUGAGACACGGUCCAGACUCCUACGGGAGGCAGCAGUGGGGAAUCUUCGGCAAUGGGCGCAAGCCUGAUCCAGCCAUACCGCGUGAGUGAAGAAGGCCUUCGGGUUGUAAAGCCCUUUUGUUGGGGAAGAAAAGCAGCGGGUUUAUCCCCCGCUGUUCUGACGGUACCUAAAGAAUAAGCACCGGCUAACUUCGUG